GUGUUCAUCUCAACACCUAUUCAUCUUUGCACUAUGGGCCAAAGAUAUUCAUCAGGUAAUCAUACAUCUUUGCACUACUGUAGCAUCCCCGAAUCCGGGUCCCAAAUCGCCACAGAUCCGGUAUACUAUUUCUAUCACUAUUGCGGAAGAUAUAAACAUAAAUUGUUUAUACAUUAAACUUUUACACAUCAUUCUCAAGGUCUACAACCUUAACUUAAUACAUACCUUCAAUAUCUUAGAAGAUUUACAAUACUAUUUUCAUCAGAAA
rnacentral:lncRNA from 1 species